rnacentral:sRNA from 15 species
GUCAUUGUGACGGCACAGAAGGCUCUGCCAAUUGGGUGUCGAUGCGAAAUUAUUAAUUUUCUCGCAUUGCUCGUCGUCCCAGGGCUCACGAGCCCUUCCUGUCCAGGCUUUCCUUUCGCGGACGGCGUGUGAAUGUGACGGCGACGGCGAAGGCGAUGGCAACGGCGAUGCGAUGCUAAACGGCAGCGACAGCGACAGCAACAGCAACAGCAACAGUUGCCAAUGUCAGAUGCUGCGAGGUGGAUAGCUGGAUGUUCGUCUCGGUCUUCAUUUAAAAUUCCUGGCGUUGCUUAAUAAUGCAAGAUUCAUGUCGAUAUGUCAAUGCGUUUGCGCGCAAUCGAUCAUUUUGGCGAGAAGGAGAUGGCUGUGGAGCUCUGGAGCCCGGGACCUCUGGACCUCGAGCCGGAUCACAGAGCGGACGCGACCGUGGGCCCAUAUCACAAACACACUCUCCAUGGCCUGUCCUUGUUUGACAUAAUGUCGCCAGAUUAACAGGGGCGAUAAACCAUCAAGCAGUUGUUUAGUUCGCAGCCAUUAUCUCCGCGAAGUUGGCAAUUUUAUGGGACGGCUUAUUACACGAUUUGGUCACGGCUAACAAUACAUCACGCAGUCACACGACCAGUGAUAAGGUCCCGGAGAGCAGAACAGACGGACAGACCAGUCCUGGACGGAGACAAAAACUUAUCAAUUAAGCAGUUGGUGAUCUCUCUCUCUCUCAUUACAUGAGCUCUACUGUCAAAUAUCCAAUAAUUUAUGGCACGCUCGUUCCAGCCAGCGAUCAUUCGAGCAUCGACCAUCAACCAUCGACAAUCGAGUACGUCAACUGCUCGCCGAGAAACAUUGAUUUAUGCCUGCCUGUCUGCCACUUUUUGUGGCAGUAGUCGGACAGAGUUGUCAUAAGGACACAGCAGAAGAAGCAGCAUCAGUAGCAGCAGAAGCAGCCGACAGCCGCGGAGGACAACUUGAGCAGCAAAACCCUUUUGCAGCAUUUAAUAGUUAUUUUAUGUUAAGUUGUCAUUCCUCCACACCGAAUCCAGGCAACGCGCAUCCCAUGCCAGCCAUCUCCAAACAUGUUUAUUUUCUAUACAUCAUCGGCCGUAACGAUAAUACGAUUAUGUACCUCUAAUAUUUA